rnacentral:rRNA from 1 species
GACGAACGCUGGCGGCGUGCUUAACACAUGCAAGUCGAACGGAGUGGCGAACGGGUGAGUAACACGUGGGUGAUCUGCCUUGCACUUCGGGAUAAGCUUGGGAAAAUGGGUCUAAUACCGGAUAGUGCAAGAUGAGCUCGCGGCCGAUCAGCUUGUUGGGGGGGUAAUGGCCUACCAAGGCGUCGACGGGUAGCCGGCAUGAGAGGGUGUACGGCCACAUUGGGACUGAGAUACGGCCCAGACUCCUACGGGGGGCAGCAGGGGGGAAUAUUGCACAAUGGGCGGAAGCGUGAGGCAGCGACGCCGCGUGUGUGAUGAAGGCCUUCGGGUUGUAAACUCCUUUCGACAGGGACGCGGUACCUGCAUAAGAAGCACCGGCUAACUACGUGCCAGCAGCCGCGGUAAUAC